CUGGGAACAACAUCCUGAUGCUGUCUGGGUGUGUGAAGCAAAAACUCCAGCAUCAGUGAUUUUGUUGCCAG
rnacentral:pre_miRNA from 1 species